UUNCCCUAGUAACGGCGAGUGAAGCGGCAACAGCUCAAAUUUGAAAUCUGGCCUCGGCCCGAGUUGUAAUUUGCAGAGGAUGCUUCUGGCGCGGUGCCUUCCGAGUUCCCUGGAACGGGACGCCACAGAGGGUGAGAGCCCCGUAUGGUCGGACACCAAGCCUGUGUGAAGCUCCUUCGACGAGUCGAGUAGUUUGGGAAUGCUGCUCUAAAUGGGAGGUAAAUCUCUUCUAAAGCUAAAUACCGGCCAGAGACCGAUAGCGCACAAGUAGAGUGAUCGAAAGAUGAAAAGCACCUUGAAAAGGGGGUUAAAUAGUACGUGAAAUUGUUGAAAGGGAAGCACUUAUGACCAGACUUGGGCCGGGCGGCUCAUCAGGGGUUCUCCCCUGUGCACUCCGCCCGGCACAGGCCAGCAUCGGUUCUCGUGGGGGGAUAAGACCGUCAGGAACGUAGCACCCUCCGGGGUGUGUUAUAGCCUGGCGGACGAUACCCCCGUGGGGACCGAGGUCCGCGCUCCGCAAGGAUGCUGGCGUAAUGGUCAUCANUGACCCG
rnacentral:rRNA from 1 species